GUGGAUGCAAAGAACUAGGGUUUGGCCCAAGGUACCAAUGUGUCAAGAACUGUGAUGACGUCGUCCUUCACGAGGUGUGUUUCAAGGCUCAUCCUCAAGACCGGUCCAGAACCCAUCCAUAUACCGGUCACUGCAGAUUUCAAUUCCUCUGGAAACCUGCCGGUGGCCCGAACCGCCGGCUGUGCGAUGCUUGCGGCAGGGACGUUCGAGGGUUCGUGUAUCAUGAUAAA